rnacentral:rRNA from 1 species
AUUGAACGCUGGCGGCAGGCUUAACACAUGCAAGUCGAGCGGGGGAAGGUAGCUUGCUACCGGACCUAGCGGCGGACGGGUGAGUAAUGCUUAGGAAUCUGCCUAUUAGUGGGGGACAACAUCUCGAAGGGGAUGCUAAUACCGCAUACGUCCUACGGGAGAAAGCAGGGGAUCUUUGGACCUUGCGCUAAUAGAUGAGCCUAAGUCGGAUUAGCUAGUUGGUGGGGUAAAGGCCUACCAAGGCGACGAUCUGUAGCGGGUCUGAGAGGCUGAGCCGCCACACUGGGACUGAGACACGGCCCAGACUCCUACGGGAGACAGCAGUGGGGAAUAUUGGACAAUGGGAGGAACCCUGAUCCAGCCAUGCCGCGUGUGUGAAGAAGGCCUUAUGGUUGUAAAGCACUUUAAGCGAGGAGGAGGCUACUUUAGUUAAUACCUAGAGAUAGUGGACGUUACUCGCAGAAUAAUCACCGGCUAACUCUGUGCCAGCCGCCGCGGUAA